rnacentral:lncRNA from 1 species
AUUACAGAUAGCUGCUAACAAUUGAUCCCCAAUUGAAUGCACUAAACAACAUCAUUUGUUUCUGAGCCUCCAUUUUGACCAAAGAUCUUGCAAACUAGAUAGCCAUCGCUUUAGUCUUAAGUUUGAGUUUUAAUUGAGAAUUAGAUACUCCACUGGAAUGGGCAUCUAAUAAACAGGUGAUUUGCAGUUUCUGAAGAGUUACCACAUAGUGCAC